GAUGAACGCUGGCGGCGUGCCUAAUACAUGCAAGUCGAGCGAACAGAUGAGGAGCUUGCUCCUCUGACGUUAGCGGCGGACGGGUGAGUAACACGUGGAUAACCUACCUAUAAGACUGGGAUAACUUCGGGAAACCGGAGCUAAUACCGGAUAAUAUAUUGAACCGCAUGGUUCAAUAGUGAAAGACGGCUUUGCUGUCACUUAUAGAUGGAUCCGCGCCGCAUUAGCUAGUUGGUAAGGUAACGGCUUACCAAGGCAACGAUGCGUAGCCGACCUGAGAGGGUGAUCGGCCACACUGGAACUGAGACACGGUCCAGACUCCUACGGGAGGCAGCAGUAGGGAAUCUUCCGCAAUGGGCGAAAGCCUGACGGAGCAACGCCGCGUGAGUGAUGAAGGUCUUCGGAUCGUAAAACUCUGUUAUCAGGGAAGAACAAAUGUGUAAGUAACUGUGCACAUCUUGACGGUACCUGAUCAGAAAGCCACGGCUAACUACGUG
rnacentral:rRNA from 1 species